rnacentral:lncRNA from 1 species
CAACAAUUUACUGUUGAAGUGACUACAAAAGUUACACAGAAAGACGACUAGUUACUAUUGAACAUUUAAAUAAUCUGUAAGGCUUUGGAGAACAGUAUUGUGAUAAGAAAAGGAACAUGGUACAAUUUUGCACAAAUAAAAUUCAUUAAAUGAGAUUUAAUACUAUUUUGUGUUGCAAUGCAACAAUAGGAUGAUUCCCCAGUGUCUAAGACUUCCAUUGGAAAAGCCCAAAAGAAGAGGCAGAUGAAAGGCGAGAAAAAGCCAGAGAAGAGCCCAGAAGAACAGCUCAUCUUCUUGUGGAAAAAAAAAGAGACAGAGGUUGUGGUGUCUGUAAUUCAAUCCCAGAUCAAAGGGAACAAUUUCAUCAUCCACCACAGUGAGCUGCUUUCACUCCAACCUCAUCAGUGGAUUACAGGGGAGAUCAUUGAAAGCCUUUUACAUCUGUAUGCAAGUGAGACGGGAAAUACAGCAUAUGUAAUGAAUCAUUAUACCACCGGUUUGAUUCUGUUCGGAGAAAGGACAAGGCUUGCUCGACACACUUUGCCAAAGGUGAACUUCGACAAUUACCAGACAAUUGUCUCAUUUGUAAAUAUAGAAAACAGCCAUUGGAGGUUUCUGUACAUUAACACUGUCAACCAGACUGUAUAA